GAAGCAGUGAUGCGAAAAUGUUCAAGCAACUCACUCAAGAGCAUGGUGUUUACUCUGGCAGUGAGAAAAUCCAAGAUCUUGUCUUGGCUAAAAGAGAGUUAUGUGGAUGGUGUUCCUCCCACUGAGCAGCAUACAAUGGUAUCUUCUGGUGUUUUUACAGAAGAGAGUUGAGUGAGAAAUGGAAUAUGGUAGGAAAAGCACUGCAAGGCCUGGAGCUCCAUCAUGCAGCUGCUGUGGUGGACAUGGAAGGAAAGAAAUGAUAGCAUCUUCCGGCGUCGCACUUUGCUGCUGCCGAAAUCUCUAGACAGAUUCCGUGGGGACCUGUCGAUGUGGUCGGAUGCUCCAAAAUGCUGAACCUAGGAAGACCACGUGAAUGCCUAAAUAUUUGUCAUUCUGUUGGUUGCUGAACGGCCGGCUGGGUGCUGCUGAGUCUCUGGUGCUUUCUAUUCUUUUUUCUUUAGUUUUUUCGGUUUCGUUCCUAGCUUGGUUCGGUCACCCUUCAAACCCUGUAACUCUGCUCUAAUCUAUAAUCAAUGAAAAGCUGCGCUGACAACCUUUUCGUCUAGAAA